rnacentral:lncRNA from 1 species
CCGAGAUCCACAAUGACUGACUGGUGAAGAAGUUGAGGUUCUGAGGAUGUGAUUAAACAGACAGCUGAUACACGGCAGAGCAGAGAGUUGCACUUGCUCUUUCCAGAUCACCUCCCUGUCCCUCAGCUCGACCCACUUUGGCUGGAGAUGGAGAGGGAGCACAAGGAAGGCCUAGGACAGCGUUUGGUUCCCAGUGGUCAUGGGAUCACUGCUGACUGAUGCUGAAUCUUGUGGAGAAGGGACUGGAUCCUGGAUGGAGCUUUGUGUCAGCUACCAAGUUCUCCUCUUACAUUCAGCAUCUGUAAAAUCAGGAGGUGGAGGAGAAAGCUGAGGGCUCCAGCUGCCCAAGAACUAGAACUAUCUAGCAUCUUCUUUCUCUCCCACUGCCCACCCGAGGCCUGCCUCUCACCACCAUUCAUCCUCAACCUGCUCCAGGGCCCAGCCUGGCUCCAUGUAAGCAAAGCUGCCAGCAGGGUCCUUUGUGGUGCUGCUCCCGUGUGGCACUGCCUAGGGGCCCCACCAUGGGGCAACAGAUGGACCUAUGGUCUCUACAGAACAAUAGUGGGGGAGGGGCCCUGGCAUCGCCCGCCCCAAACAGGAAGCGCUGCAUGAGCUUCAAAGAACUGGCAGGGCCAAGGGGCUGAGUGGCUGGAGCCAGUGCCAGGACCGGCGGCUGCCUGAAGAGAUGCCUGCCAGCCUCAGGAUGCCCAGCCUGCAGUGGGGGUGGGGCUGCAGUGGCCAGGGCAGCUGGGUCUCCGGCAGACGAGGCUUUGCACCCUCAGUGAAGCAGCCACUGACCUGAGACAGGCUGAGGGAAGGGGGCUCAGACACCAGGCUGUUUCCUGGACCUGCUGCCACUAGCUAGCGGGGCUGCAGGUUCUUUCCCAGGCCACAGUGGGUCUGGCCCUCCAGCAAGUAACCAUGAGGGGCAGGGCUGGCACCAAGCCUGCACCCACUCCCUGCCUCCUGCUCCCAGCUGCUCUGCUCAGAGCCUUUUCCUCUCCACUUCCUGUUCACACAGGGGGGGGCGGGAAGUGGAGGGAGGAAGUUGGGGGGAGGCGUGUAGGGGGGACCCAUUGAAUAAAAGGAAUUAACCGUUUCCCUCCUCUGACCUCUGGGAAUUUCCGCCUGUGAAAGUGUCUCGAAGAAUCUGCAGAGCUGGGGGAGUGGGGAGGAGGUGUG